CACUCCUACGGGAGGCAGCAGUGAGGAAUAUUGGACAAUGGGUGGAAGCCUGAUCCAGCCAUCCCGCGUGCAGGAAGACGGCCCUAUGGGUUGUAAACUGCUUUUAUCUGGGGAUAAACCUACUUACGUGUAAGUAGCUGAAGGUACCAGAAGAAUAAGCACCGGCUAACUCCGUGCCAGCAGCCGCGGUAAUACGGAGGGUGCAAGCGUUAUCCGGAUUUAUUGGGUUUAAAGGGUCCGUAGGCGGACUGAUAAGUCAGUGGUGAAAUCCGACAGCUUAACUGUCGAACUGCCAUUGAUACUGUUAGUCUUGAGUAAGGUUGAAGUGGCUGGAAUAAGUAGUGUAGCGGUGAAAUGCAUAGAUAUUACUUAGAACACCAAUUGCGAAGGCAGGUCACUAAGUCUUAACUGACGCUGAUGGACGAAAGCGUGGGGAGCGAACAGGAUUAGAAACCCCUGUAGUCC
rnacentral:rRNA from 1 species